rnacentral:rRNA from 1 species
UGAAUACGAGAUGCUACGGCGUCGAAGCAGUGUAUGUCAGACUUCCAAGAAAAGCUCGCAAUGUCAUAAAUAAAGAAUGCCUGUACCAUAACCGACACAGGUGGGUAGGUAGAGUAUACUAAGGGGCGCGAGAUAACUCUCUCUAAGGAACUCGGCAAAAUAACUCCGUAACUUCGGGAGAAGGAGUGCCUUCUAUUAGAAGGUUGCAAUAACAAGAUCCAAGCAACUGUUUAUCAAAAACACAGGUCUCCGCUAAGUCGUAAGACGAUGUAUGGGGGCUGACGCCUGCCCAGUGCCAGAAGGUUAAAGAAGUUGGUUAGCUUUGGCGAAGCUGAUGACUGAAGCCCUGGUGAACGGCGGCCGUAACAAUAACGGUCCUAAGGUAGCGAAAUUCCUUGUCGGGUAAGUUCCGACCCGCACGAAAGGCGUAAUGAUUUGGAUACUGUCUCGGAGAGGGACUCGGUGAAAUAGACUUGUCUGUGAAGAUGCGGACUACCUGCACCAGGACAGAAAGACCCUAUGAAGCUUUACUGUAACUUGAAAUUGAAAUUGGACUUUAUUUGCGCAGCAUAGGUGGAAGGCGUUGAGAUUACUCUUGCGGGAGUACUGGAGCCAUCAGUGAGAUACCACUCCUAUAAUGUUAGAUUUCUAACUUUGGAUCAUGAUCUGGUCAAAGAACAGUUUCAGGCGGGCAGUUUGACUGGGGCGGUCGCCUCCCAAAUGGUAACGGAGGCGUACAAAGGUUUCCUCUGAACGGGUAGAAAUCGUAUCUAGAGUGUAAAGGCAUAAGGAAGCUUGACUGUGAGACCUACAAGUCGAGCAGGGACGAAAGUCGGUCUUAGUGAUCUGACGGUGCUGAGUGGAAAGGCCGUCACUCAACGGAUAAAAGUUACUCUAGGAUAACAGGCUGAUCUCCCCCAAGAGUUCACAUCGACGGGGAGGUUUGGCACCUCGAUGUCGGCUCAUCGCAUCCUGGGGCGGUAGUACGUCCCAAGGGUUGGGCUGUUCGCCCAUGAAAGCGGUACGCGAGCUGGGUUCAGAACGUCGUGAGACAGUUCGGUCCAUAUCCGGUGUAGGCGUUAGAAUAUUGGGAGGAGCCUUCUUUAGUACGAGAGGACCGAGAAGGACAUACCUCUGGUGUACCAGUUAUCGUGCCAACGGUAAACGCUGGGUAGCUAUGUAUGGAGAGGAUAACCGCUGAAAGCAUCUAAGUGGGAAGCCCACCUCAAGAUGAG